GAGGGUAUAGCUCAGUGGUAAAGUGUGUGCUUAUGUCCAAGGUCCUGGAUUCAAUUCCCGGUACCUCCA
rnacentral:tRNA from 1 species